ACACGACGUUAAUGAAACAAAAGUUCCAAUACAGUUAACUCAGAAAACGUUGCUACAAUUACUCAAAAGCUGCUGGGCAUUUCCUUUUCUAUCCAUGUGAAAAAAUGAUGGGCAUCAUAAUUAUGAGGGACCAAAACAUCGGUUGGAGUCAUGAAUGAUUGCCACCAGUAAAAGCAUAUUCAAGUGUUCAAUUUCAACCAGCCUAAAAAGUGUGAUCCUAACAUGGAAAGAACCAAAACAUGAAUCUAUCGUGUAGGCUGCAACUGCAAACGACCAGAAUAGUGAAGACCUGCUCCUGACCCACCAAGGCACCAAUCGAAAGGAGAUCCGACAUUGCCCAAUUUCUGCAAUCGGGAUCACCACAUGUCCAGCUUAAAAAAGAUGAUGAAUUUACUGUUUUGGAUGCAGCUAACAGCGUUACCACGGAAUGAAUCCGCAACACCUGAGCUAAAUUACGCGAAUUUGCAAGCACAGGAAAAUGAGCAAAAUGUGCGCCAACCACCAAUC
rnacentral:lncRNA from 1 species